rnacentral:rRNA from 1 species
CGGCGGACGGGUGAGUAACACGUGGAUAACCUACCUAUAAGACUGGGAUAACUUCGGGAAACCGGAGCUAAUACCGGAUAAUAUAUUGAACCGCAUGGUUCAAUAGUGAAAGACGGUUUUGCUGUCACUUGUAGAUGGAUCCGCGCCGCAUUAGCUAGUUGGUAAGGUAACGGCUUACCAAGGCAACGAUGCGUAGCCGACCUGAGAGGGUGAUCGGCCACACUGGAACUGAGACACGGUCCAG